ACCUGCUUGUCCCCCAGCUCUGCACUCCAUGGGAACUUCAGUCAGGUGGAAAGUGAUUUUCUUCUCUGCAGCUUGAAGUAUCGUUAAGACCCGCUAAAGGCCCUAAAGCUGUUCCUAGUAACUGAGACAUUUAGGAUAAUCUUUAUGGAGUUUUGCAGGAGCGUCUGCUUUUUGUUGCUCUUAGGAGAAGAGUUAAUGAUGAGCUUUCACUGACUCUCCCCCACCUUUUUUUUCUUUCUAAAAAAUCUAAGCCAAAAAACGCCUGUUUAAGUUAAGUACCACCUCCCUCCAGCUCUUGGGAAUCCACUCAAGAGGGCUUUGCUUGGCUCUGUGUUCAUGACACAUAAUGAAAACAAUUUUACGCUGUGGAGGGAAGUAUUGGGCAAUUACUGAUGUAACAGCCACCUGCAGUAGCCGAGCCCUGGCUGUAGCAUCGUGUGGUUCAUGAAUAUUUUAUGGGUCCACAGUGUAACACCAAGAAGCAUCCUGACCCCGCCUGGAUGGAGGCAAGGGCCACUGAGGCUGAGGCAAGAUGCUAUGACAAGUCACGGGGGGCACCCUUUACAAGCCCUUGUCUGCCGAUUUUACACACGUUGUCCAGUGUGAAAAGCCACAGCAUCAAUCUUGUCUGAUUUAAUUUGAUAAAUUAAGUGUGGAUAAGGAUUAAAUGAGAAUUUUGUAAUGGAGAAAA